rnacentral:rRNA from 1 species
GGCUCAGGAUGAACGCUAGCGACAGGCUUAACACAUGCAAGUCGAGGGGCAGCGGGGGUAGCGAUACCCGCCGGCGACCGGCGCACGGGUGAGUAACGCGUAUGCAACUUGCCUAUCAGAGGGGGAUAACCCGGCGAAAGUCGGACUAAUACCGCAUGAAGCAGGGGCCCCGCAUGGGGAUAUUUGCUAAAGAUUCAUCGCUGAUAGAUAGGCAUGCGUUCCAUUAGGCAGUUGGCGGGGUAACGGCCCACCAAACCGACGAUGGAUAGGGGUUCUGAGAGGAAGGUCCCCCACAUUGGUACUGAGACACGGACCAAACUCCUACGGGAGGCAGCAGUGAGGAAUAUUGGUCAAUGGCCGAGAGGCUGAACCAGCCAAGUCGCGUGAGGGAUGAAGGUUCUAUGGAUCGUAAACCUCUUUUAUAAGGGAAUAAAGUGCGGGACGUGUCCCGUUUUGUAUGUACCUUAUGAAUAAGGAUCGGCUAACUCCGUGCCAGCAGCCGCGGUAAUACGGAGGAUCCGAGCGUUAUCCGGAUUUAUUGGGUUUAAAGGGUGCGUAGGCGGCCUUUUAAGUCAGCGGUGAAAGUCUGUGGCUCAACCAUAGAAUUGCCGUUGAAACUGGGGGGCUUGAGUAUGUUUGAGGCAGGCGGAAUGCGUGGUGUAGCGGUGAAAUGCAUAGAUAUCACGCAGAACCCCCGAUUGCGAAGGCAGCCUGCCAAGCCAUUACUGACGCUGAUGCACGAAAGCGUGGGGAUCAAACAGGAUUAGAUACCCUGGUAGUCCACGCAGUAAACGAUGAUCACUAGCUGUUUGCGAUACACUGUAAGCGGCACAGCGAAAGCGUUAAGUGAUCCACCUGGGGAGUACGCCGGCAACGGUGAAACUCAAAGGAAUUGACGGGGGCCCGCACAAGCGGAGGAACAUGUGGUUUAAUUCGAUGAUACGCGAGGAACCUUACCCGGGUUUGAACGCAUUCGGACCGAGGUGGAAACACCUUUUCUAGCAAUAGCCGUUUGCGAGGUGCUGCAUGGUUGUCGUCAGCUCGUGCCGUGAGGUGUCGGCUUAAGUGCCAUAACGAGCGCAACCCUUGCCACUAGUUACUAACAGGUAAAGCUGAGGACUCUGGUGGGACUGCCAGCGUAAGCUGCGAGGAAGGCGGGGAUGACGUCAAAUCAGCACGGCCCUUACAUCCGGGGCGACACACGUGUUACAAUGGCGUGGACAAAGGGAAGCCACCUGGCGACAGGGAGCGAAUCCCCAAACCACGUCUCAGUUCGGAUCGGAGUCUGCAACCCGACUCCGUGAAGCUGGAUUCGCUAGUAAUCGCGCAUCAGCCAUGGCGCGGUGAAUACGUUCCCGGGCCUUGUACACACCGCCCGUCAAGCCAUGGGAGCCGGGGGUACCUGAAGUCCGUAACCGCGAGGAUCGGCCUAGGGUAAA